GUAAUAGGAUCUUAGAUCUAGGGAUUCUCUGAUUUUAAAAAAUAAAUUUUGAUUUAUUUUAGUCUUUCGCUGUAUGAUCUUGAAAAAGUUUCAAGAUCUAACCCUGAAACCCUAGAUCUGGUUCCUACACUUUUUAGCUGCACUGAUGCCUGCAGCUGUUGCGGUUGCUGCUGCAUGGCCUGCACUACUUCGAUGAGGCCCCUGACCUGAUGAACUAGC
rnacentral:lncRNA from 1 species